rnacentral:rRNA from 1 species
AGCGGCGGACGGGUGAGUAACACGUGAGUAACCUGCCUUAGACAUUGGGAUAGCCUCGGGAAACCGGGAUUAAUACCAAAUAAAAUCAUAAUGACACAUGUCAUAACGAUCAAAACUCCGGUGGUCUAAGAUGGACUCGCGUCCCAUUAGCUAGUUGGUAGAGUAAAAGCCUACCAAGGCGACGAUGGGUAGCCGGCCUGAGAGGGUGGACGGCCACAUUGGGACUGAGAUACGGCCCAG